UAUUGGUUUGAAAUUCCAUUAAAUAUAUUGCAAGAGCUCCUAGGUUAAGCUUGAUUUAAAUUUGCAUACAUUUUCAUAUAUUUAGCAGAAAUAAAAGAAGGCUUGCAGCUACCAGAAAGUCAUUAAGGCAUUAGUUUCUCUGAGAAGACAGAUCUGGAGAAAAUUCAAGAAAAUGAAAAAAAAUUAUAUAUAAACAAGGCAAGGGGCCACGAAGUCUCCCUGUGCUUUGCGUUGCGUUGCUUACCACAUGCAACACGCAGCACCAGUCACAGGCGAAAACGUUGGGGCUGAGAUCAAUAGACUUUUAUACAGCUCCUUUUACCAAUAAAGCUUCAUUAACUUCAUGUCGAGCUUUGCUUGGCUGUAGGGAAGCGACCUGCCCCUGGACCAAGAGAAUCCAGCACAUUCUUGCCACAAAGGAGACAGAAAGUGAUGCAGAUGACAUGGAAAAGAAAAUAUUAUGGAUCUGAGAGGACUCCAGCAAGAAAAGAAUAUCAGCUCUACACAAAAAAUGUAAUUUGGACUCCAGAGCCCUGUGGUCUUCCUGCUUAUUGAAAACCAUUUUUUUAUUCAUAUCAAGAGGUCUGCUUUGGGUGGAACUUAUCUGAGGAUGGAGUCUUCUGAAUAUCAGAUCCCACUACAGUUUGAUACCAUGAUGAGAAUGUCUGGCCCACUGCCUUCCAGAAUCUGGCACUUACUUUAUUGAUGGAUAAUGAUGGUGUGUACAACAGAGGGACACUAAUCAUGAAGAAGAGGAGGAGGAGGAAGAAAGAAUUGUUUUCAUGUACAAAAGGUGAGAAAAAGGUUAAUUUGCUUGAGAAAUCAUGUCUAUGCCUGAGAAGGUCAACUUGCUCCAUCAUGUGUUCUGUAGUCUGAAGCUGACCUGAACCCAAACAACUCAGUUUAAUGAAAAAAAAAGUCCUCUUUUUUCUUUCUUUUUUCAUUAUAUUUCCUCUAGUAUCAAGUUUCUUUCACACCUUCACAGUAAAGGUAUGUGUGACCUAUUUUGGUUAGUCUAAUAUAUCAUCACCCUGUUCAGCAUCAGGGGUCUGAUCCUGUUUCCACUUAAUUUUUUAUAGCUAUUGUUGCAUUCUAAAAGUACAAACUUCAUCCUAAAUUGUGCUAAGUUCUUGUCUUCUCAAUCACUUUAGCUGACCAAGAACCAGAUCGACACUUGAUAUAACUCAGAGGAGUUUAAAUGCUGUCCUUAUUUGCAAUGGGUAAAACUGCCCAAAGAUCAGCUGAGUAAACGGAUGCUUCAAGUGUACCGUACCUGGUCUUGACAUGCCCCUCUCAGUGAUGUUGAGCACUUGCAACUAACAAUGUAGUCCAAGUGAGCAGUAAUCCUGAAAAGGAAAUAAGUACCUCUCAAGUUGCCUCUCCUUGUAAACUGACAGUGUUAUAAACAAUACACAAGCAAAUGGACAAAUAUGUGGGACAAAAAAGAAAUGGAGCAUUCCAAGUUGCAAAUCAAUAGCAAAAUACUUUAGAUGUCUACAGUCUAGAUUUUGAGGUAGGAACAAUGCAGUGAAUGUGAAUCCUAGUGACUUAAUGGUAAAAAACUUAUUAGCCUUGCCCUGUAGCUUCAAUGGGAUGGUUUCUAUGGGUAAAACCAGGAGGAUUUAGCCAAAGAUUACUUUGAAAUACCAGUGAAGUUAUCAGGGCAGUAAGAGCACUCUCAGAUACUAUCUAAGAUAGUAUCAAAGAUUAAAAAUCCCUUUCCAAACAAAUAUUUUUAUAUUAAAUGUAACAGAAGCUGUUUGAAUGCCUGUUAAUCCUGCACCUAUCAUCAUGGUCUCUGAACAUUUAGAUCAGUGGUUUUCAACCUUUUUUCAUUUGCAGCCCCCUAAAAAUUUUUUCGUGGAGGUGCAGACCCAUUUGAAUGUUGUGUGGGUAUUCACAUACUUUUGAAUAAUCAUAAUAAUAUUUUGUUGACCCCUUUGACAUAGUCUGUGGACUGCAAGGGUCCACAGACCAGAGCUUGAAAACUACUGACUUGAGAAAAUGAGACUUUUGACUUUGUUCCCCAAUAUAUUUGUCUGUUUUUCUUUUUCGCCUCCUCUCCUGCUCUGUUCUUUUUAUCUUAUCUAAUCAAACUAAAUUCUUGUACCAUUAUCAUCAUGGGAUAUCUGAGCAACCCUGUAUUUAAUUUUAUUCCCAGGUAUGAGAAUAAGGGCUAUUAUUGGAAUGUUAUAGAAUGCUACUGCAGAUACUAAUUAAAUAUUGUAUCUAUGUUCUUGUUUAAUUAUAUUUUCCAGUUUUAUGUUUGAGCUUGAAAACAACAUUACCUGGGCUUGCUAUAUAUAUAUUCUACCCACACUCAUUGUAUUAGAUUAUGAAACCAAUGUUUUAUAGCAUGAAUGUUUUACUCCUUUUUCUUAUUCUAUACAAUUGUCCUAAAUUCAUUAAUUAUAUUAUUGUGUUUGCAAAAUUAAGUUUCAAUCCUUCAGACCCUUAUGCCUGUACUUAGCCAAAUAUUUCAAAGGAAUUAGUAGGUUGCCGUGGCACAAUUUUCAUAAAUAGGCUCCUCAUAGAAGUUAGAAGGAUCAGACCCACAGAUUCUGUUUUAUGAAGCAGACUUUUCUAUACUUCACCUGAAGUGUUGGUAACACUGGGGUUUAUGAAAUGUGAAAUAGUGUCCAGACAACAAUAAGCAGUAUAAUCAUAUCAAGUCAUCUAUGAAGUGCCAUUCAUUCAUAUAUAUUAAAAAGUAUGUUAAAGCAAUUACAGUAUGUGAAACUCUAAUAUUAAAACAAAAUGUUCUAGUACUUGACUUCCAAUUCACGUGGGCAGCCUUGUUCAAAACAAAGCUGAAGCACACAGUGGGACUAAACAUGUGCUUAAAUACUUUGCUGAAUCCAGACUAAAGUUAUUCAGUGAAGAAGCGCUCAUUUACUAGAGUGCACAAGAGCUGUAUAGUAGGCCUGUGCAAAACGGCAAGUAUUCAAUUCAGAUUUGGAUUCAGCUGAUUCGGAGGGACAGUAAUUUGAUUCGAUGAUUUGAAUCACUGUCCCAACUUGGUUUGGCUGAUUUGGAUUCGAAGAUUUGGCACCUAUUUGGAGAUUUGAACAUAGAUUAAACAGGCAGCAGGCCUCGAGGAUGCUGGACACAGCUGCCUCCAGCUGGGAAGUCUGUUGU